rnacentral:rRNA from 1 species
GACGAACGCUGGCGGCGUGCCUAAUACAUGCAAGUCGAGCGGACUUGAAGGAGUGCUUGCUCUCCUGAGAGUUAGCGGCGGACGUGUGAGUUACACGUAUGCAACCUGCCCUCAAGACUGGGAUAACUACCGGAAACGGUAGCUCAUACCGGAUAAUUUAUUACAUAGCAUUUUGUGAUAAUGAAAGACGGAGCAUUCUGUCACUUGGGGAUGGGCCUGCGGCGCAUUAGCUAGUUGGUGGGGUAACGGCCCACCAAGGCGACGAUGCGUAGCCGACCUGAGAGGGUGAACGGCCACACUGGGACUGGGACACGGCCCAGACUCCUACGGGAGGCAGCAGUAGGGAAUCUUCCGCAAUGGGCGAAAGCCUGACGGAGCAACGCCGCGUGAGUGAUGAAGGUGUUCGGAUCGUAAAGCUCUGUUGCCAAGGAAGAACGUCUCAUAGAGUAACUGCUAUGAGAGUGACGGUACUUGAGAAGAAAGCCCCGGCUAACUACGUG